ensembl:misc_RNA 7SK 7SK RNA
AGAUGUGAGGGUGAUCUGGCUGUGACAUUUGUCACCUCAUUGAUGGCCAGGGUUGAUUUGGCUGAUCUGGCUGGCUGGGGGGGGGCUUCCUCCCUCACUGAUCAAUAUGUGUCCUUCCCAAUGCUGCAUGUUCAAUCGAAGAGGACGAUCACCACAGAUAGAGGGGGACCGUUUCCUUGGUCAAGGGUAUUCAAGUAGCUGCACUUGAUCUUGAUCUUGGUAUGUCUGGCACAUUGAAAACGGUGGAGGGAUGGGAGGGAAAACCAGAGAGAGAUGUUAGGGCACAUAGAAGUUUCUUCUACUGAUUAAGAUUAAAGAAUGAGUUUUACAUC